UACGUAGGGGGCGAGCGUUGUCCGGAGUUACUGGGCGUAAAGCGUGCGCAGGCGGUUGGUUAAGUCUGAUGUGAAAGCCCCGAGCUCAACUUGGGAAUGGCAUUGGAAACUGGCUGGCUAGAGUGUGGCAGAGGGGGGUGGAAUUCCGCGUGUAGCAGUGAAAUGCGUAGAGAUGCGGAGGAACACCGAUGGCGAAGGCAGCCCCCUGGGCUGACACUGACGCUCAGGCACGAAAGCGUGGGGAGCAAACAGG
rnacentral:rRNA from 1 species